rnacentral:pre_miRNA from 1 species
GUAAUACUCCCUCCGUCCGGAAAUACUUGUCAUCAAAAUGGAUAAAAAGGGAUGUAUCUAGAACUAAAAUACAUCUAGAUACAUCCCCUUUUAUUCAUUCUGAUGACAAGUAUUUCCGGACGGAGGGAGUACAAA